rnacentral:rRNA from 1 species
AUUGAACGCUGGCGGCAGGCCUAACACAUGCAAGUCGAACGAGUGGCGGACGGGUGAGUAAUGUCUGGGAAACUGCCCGAUGGAGGGGGAUAACUACUGGAAACGGUCGCUAAUACCGCAUACCAUCGGAUGUGCCCAGAUGGGAUUAGCUGGUGGGUGGGUUAAUGGCUCACCUAGGCGACGAUCCCUAACUGGUCUGAGAGGAUGACCAGCAAACCUGGACCGGAGAAACGGUCCAGACUCCUACGGGGGGCAGCAGUGGGGAAUAUUGCACAAUGGGCGCAAGCCUGAUGCGGCCAUGCCGCUUGGAUGAAGAAGGCCUUCGGGUUGUAAAGUACUUUCAGCGAGGAGGCGUUACUCGCAGAAGAAGCACCGGCUAACUACGUGCCAGCAGCCGCGGUAAUUC